CAGUGGCCCAACAAAAUGUAUGUCAUGUACAACCAACACCUUUCCUAUUUGGCCCCAUCUCUACCCACCAAGGACCUUUCAUCCCGACAGGCUUUUACUGUAAAGGUUUUUUAAGAAGGAGCCAAACCAUGUGGUUAACACUCGUGUUUGUACUCUUCUGUGUCAGUUUUCAAUCACCUUUCAGAUGAGAGUAUUCCUUCCUCUCUGGCCUCUCAGCUGAAGCAGCUGAACUGCCUUUUCAAUUUGGAUUGCUGAUACUUGAGACUCUUCAAAUGGGUCUGCAAAUUAGAGAGUAAGACCACUGCUGACAGAUGUGAUCUGUAAGGCUCGUGCCAGCAGAUACUCUGUGUGCUCUGUAGGUCUGUGGACAGUUGUCUGCACUACAGCUGGAAAGUGAGCAGCCUCACACUGCUGUAAAUCUCUAUUAAAACCGGAAAGCGAGCAGCCUAACACUCGUAACCAAGGCAUUGCACAUUAACAGCUCAUCUAAGGUAAUUUUCUUUGCCCUCUGCUGCAAGACAAUCCCUAUAAAAUUGGUAGGCAGCUCAGACUGUUCAUGAGAUUAUGAAUGUGUUCAAAGUGAAAAGCAUCAUUGGGACAAAAAGAAGCUUUUUGAGUGUUUUCCAGCUGAGAGCAUUUGGCCUAAGCAUCAUACCAAGUUUUUACCAUUGUCUUUAUUCAAGGUCUCGUUCAGAUUUAACAACCAUUCACGGAUGCUCACAAAACUCCUGGGAGAAAAUUCAGUGUAGGAAUCAAUGGAACUGCAUCUGGUUUUAUAAAGCACAUUAAAGCAUGCAACAAAACAUUUUCCAUGAGGUAUUUGCGGCUCCAAUGGCAUAACAGAGUCAGCCCUGACAAGACAGGAGGAGCAAGCCAGCAUAGACAAAAGCAAGACAUUUAAUAGCUCUUAUAAAAGCAAAAAAGUAAACAAGCCUUUCCUCCCCUUCUGCGUUUGAAUGUCGGUGUCCCUUAGCAUGAUGUGGUCAUGCUGGAGCUGGGCAAGGAGGCAGAGGCCAGCACCAGCAUGGGCCCCCAGAUCUCCCUUUUGGCUGCUGGAGGCGACCACCGCUGUGCAGCAACUCUGCAAAUACAGAGCAAGGGAAGGCGCCCAGGGAAGGCUCAAACACGCUGGAGAUCAUUGGUUGACAACAGUUGCCAGAAAUGUUUCCUUUGAGACAAGGAAAAACAAUGUAAACCAGCAAGCCUCAAACGUGCCUGUUUCAGUCGCAGGGCUUCUUUCUUCCAGCAGAGGAAGUUACCUUCAGUAGCAAGUAGUUGAUGAUGAGCUCUCUUACUGGGAACCUUUGCUGGCAGGAGAGCAGUUUCUGCACAUCUGGGGGGCCUCAGGCCAUCUUGGUGACUUCUGGCAAUUUAACCUUUAGAGUGAAACAUCAAGGGCUGGCUCUGGAGCAGCAGUGAUGCCAAGUAUCAACAAACCAGCUGUAGGCACAUUUCAUCAGUUUCAUGCUCUGUGCUCAUUACAAAGUCUCACUAUACCCCAGCCCCCUUCUCUGCAAUGUUGCUGUGACACAACCUAUAAACUCUGCCUAACCAUUUCCCUUCCAGUCUCCCACAGCCUAAAUCCCGCUUGAGCGCUGUCCUCUGCACUGCCUGCCUUUAACCACUGGGUGCCAGGGGCCUCCCAGCAGCAUGCCUCUCUCACACUGCUCCUUCUCCUGCCGCAGGAGAACCACCUGAACCACUCCAGCUGUGAAGCCAGCUGCGCAUCUGCUCCCUCUGCAUCUGUGGUGAGGGCAGGUGUGAGACAGCCAGUGGCAGAUCAAGGCAGCCUCGGGCACCUGGGGACUUCAGGCAUUGUCUCUGCUCCUGCAGCUCGGGCUGCCUGCAGAGGGGGAGAACAUUUUAUGCCUGUGGUGGUUUAUUUCCUCUCAGUAAACUGCAGAAUGGAGCUUGCAAAACCUCCAGCCUCUUAGGACGUGCUGUAUUUAAUCCUGCCAUCCCAAGGAAUAUAUGCCAUGGAGUUUUCUCCAGCAAGACAUUAGUCCUUCACAGACUUUGGAAAACACAGAUGUGAAAAUAAAUUCAAAGGUACUGCAAUUAUAGAGGAAAAGUGAUUGAACCACAAGGAGCUCCAUGUGCUAGCUUCAACUUAGCUGAUACAGGCUAAAAUAGUGGUGGAGAUGACUGAGAGAAGUCAGCUUUCCAUAUGCUUUUCCUGUUCCUAUGGUCCACCUAAGGCAUCUGUGUUAGGCUACUGGCAGAGACAGAAAUCUGAGCUAAAGGGGCCCAUUCUGGCCCUCAGUAUGUUACAUCACCUCAUAACCAAACGCAAGCUAGCUGGGAUCUCUGCUCGCCUACCUGAGCCAGAUGUGUACAAUGAGUUUCCUAUUUCCACUUGCUUGUAACAAUUGUAUAAUUGAACUAAGCAAGCCUCUCUUAGUGGUAGAACUACUAAUUUUUAAACAGGCUGAUAAUUCAUGGUGAUAAUGGAUCUGUCAGACAACAUGUAGGUGCAUGCAGCUCGCUUCCAAAUUCCCCUGCCUAGUCCUGAUCAUCACCUCUCCCUCCCUGUGCAACCCCCUGUGCUGGGUGCAGCCCUAAUGCAGAGUCCCUUAAUAAAGCACAUUCCCCAGCUGCAGGAGGACACCACAGUCUGUCACUGUCAGUCUGCAUUUGUACCUUGCUGGGCAGAGCUCCUGGGGUGUGACACAGUGCCAGCCAGGCAUUGCUUCACUGAGCUGUCACCAGAGCUGUUUGUCUCCACAGGUCAGGACUGUGCCUUUCCUUAGCCAUGACCCAGCAGAUGCUUUUUCUGUUGCAAGGGAAGGAUGGGAGAGAGGCUGCUUGCUCAAGGCAUGGUGUACAUAAAUCCAGUGAAUAAUAAUCCAGAGUAAAUGACUGUUUCCUUGGGAUGUUUUUGCCAUUUUGAUUUCAUAUGUUUCAGCAAGGUGCGAAAAUAGUGGGGAAGCAAGG